rnacentral:lncRNA from 1 species
GAUUUACUAGCCAGAAGUUCCUCACAGGUUCGUAUGCCCUCAGAGAACUGCUGACACUUCGGGAUGGCAUGAAGCCAGGCAGGAGGAGGGCAGCAUCCACGUAGGGAAACCGGAUGUGCUGAUGUGGGUUAAGACCAGGUGAACGCAACAAGUCAGCAAGACUUGCCCAUGCCCCUGAAGGAAGCAUAGAUACGACAAACUUCAUUUCAUCCAAAAUACCAGUGUCCUGGGUUCAACUCGGUUGUGACUGGCUUGCAUCUCAUCUUACAAGGACAUCUGUGCCGAAGCCCUUCCUUGAUCCUCCUUUACGCAUGACCAGUC